AGAUCCAAAUUCAAUUUUGAGUAGUGUACAUUACUUUCUUCACUUCCUUUCUUGAGUGUUUAGAGCUGUUGUUGCAAUUUUUGUUUUUAUUUCCCAAAACUUUUCUCCCUCUCUGAGUUGCUGGCGUGGGCUAGUGUACUGGCCAGGCUAGUGGGUGGAAAUCUUGGCAGAGACAGACAACAUAACACAUUCCCCUUCAGGGAUGGAUGGGCAGCCAAUGGGGCCCUGUGUACUAAGGCAUGAGGCAGAGAGAGGCCUCCCAGUUUGGUGUUCUCAAGGCCACAAAAAAUGGGGGGGCCAGCUCAGCCUACUGUGCAAUUUCCUUAGACAGCAGCCCGUAGCCAUGAGAUCAGUACACCCCUCUGCCUCCUAGGGUCAGACGCAGCACAAUUACAGCAUGCACUUCCUCUCUAUAAGCUGAAGGAUUUUUUUGGACUAAUCUGUUCAUUGAGUCAUCAGUUCUCUCUGGAGCCCUCAUCCCCUGUUCUUGUGGUUAAGCAAAGGCUCCCAGCACACAUACCCUUUCUUGAGACCCCAAAUCUUCAGAUGACCCCAUUCAGGGUCAUCUACCUUAUUGAGCCAUCCCUAGCAGAGAGUCAGGAGGGAUCAGAGAUAUUGAAUGUCAAUGUGAGCUGCCAUCUUCCUAGAAUCUUCAUUUGUUCAGAGUAAGAAAUCCAUGAAAAUAUUUAUACACAUGGAAAGGAGCAAGGGGAAAGAAGGAGGUUGAAGAUAUGUAGAGAGAAAGGUAAUAGAUAGAUAGACUCAGAACUGAGAAGCCUGAGAAUGAAGCCAGCACAUCUGCUGUUGUGUCCUGGUAGAUGUUAGUGGAGUUUGGUUCUAACCGAACGUCAUACUCCAACAGAAGCAUCAGAUCUGUGGAACACAAAGUCAAGACCUGGCCCAGCUUCAGCCCUCUUAUCCAGGAGCUUAAUCAAGUUUUCAGUGUAGCCUACAAGGCCAUGAGACUUGCCAAAAAGGUUACUAAAUAAAGGUAGGUUCAUCCAAAGAGAAGCAACGGUGAGGGCAAUGCAAGGUCUCCAGCCAGGUGGAUGGCAUCAAGCAAGCAGCAAUAGGAGCAAGCGGUUGAAUGAAAUGGCUAUAAAUAGAGCCCACAAACGCAUUCCAAAAUCUAAACCCGGCCCCGUAGUUAUGGCUUAGAGAAAUGUGUGCAACAGCUGAUAAAUAGGUUCUCCUGGAACAGGGCCGUCUGAGGAUAUCUGGGCUCCAGGAAGCCUUGCCAUCCACAAAACGUGGCCAGAGGCCAGUGAAGAUGCUGGGAAAGGGCUUUAGGAACCACGCUGACCAGGCUUAUAGGGGAAGAGCAUUACUGUCCACCUCAUAGGGUUCUCGGGGGGAUUUAGUGAGCUAUGCACAUUAGGGGUUAGAACGGGGUCCACACAUUGGAAACACUCUGUCAAUGUCGCCUGUUUUUAAUAAGCAUUAACUUACUUGCUGAUACAUGGGACUCCGCCUGCCUCCUCCCCAAGAAAGCACAGCAUUCUAUCUCUGCAUAAGAAGCUUUAUAGGACGGCAUCCUUCCUCUUCCACAGUUUUCACAGCCAUGGUCUCUAACCUAUGUCUGACAGUCCAUCUUAAUAUUACUUUUUGUUUUCAGCUUUUUACACAUUCAAUAAAAAAGAAAGCGAGGAUCCACAAAGAACAGGACAGGAAAGGGGGUUGUUUCUCAAUCUAUCAGGAAGAAACCAGAGACUUGCAAAUUGGUCUCCUUGGACCGAUUAAUCAUGCCAGCUUCAGCAUUUGAUUGUUAUUCUGAACAAUUCAUGGUCCAAUUAGAGGUUUAUGCAUUUACACUGAGAAAUACAUGACGUCAUUUAGAGCCAUUCUGGCACAGGAAGGCCAGGCGGCCUCUCACCUUUGUAUUCUGCCAGGCACACACACUCAUAGCCAUUAACGAGGUCCCUGCAGGUGGCUGCAUUCAGGCAUGGAGCGGAGAGGCACUCAUUA
rnacentral:lncRNA from 1 species